rnacentral:rRNA from 1 species
AAUAGAUACCCUGGUAGUCCUGGCCGUAAACGAUGACCACUCACUAUGGGAGGGAUCGACCCCUUCCGUAGUGGAGCUAACGCAGUAAGUGGUCCGCCUGAGGAGUACGGUCGCAAGACUAAAACUCAAAGGAAUUGACGGGGACCCGCACAAGCAGCGGAGCGUGUGGUUUAAUUCGAAGCAACGCGAAGCACCUUACCAGGGCUUGACAUGCCGUCGCACCGCCCAGAGAUGGGCGUGCCCGCAAGGGACGGCGGCACAGGUGCUGCAUGGCUGUCGUCAGCUCGUGUCGUGAGAUGUUGGGUUAAGUCCCGCAACGAGCGCAACCCUUGAUCUUAGUUGCCAGCAUUCAGUUGGGCACUCUAAGGUGACUGCCGGUGACAAACCGGAGGAAGGUGGGGAUGACGUCAAAUCAUCAUGCCCCUUAUGACCUGGGCUACACACGUGCUACAAUGGAUGGUACAAAGGGCUGCAAAACCGCAAGGUCUAGCCAAUCCCAUAAAACCCAUUCUCAGUUCGGAUUG